GAUUAACGCUCGCGGCAGGCAUAAUACAUGCAAGUUGAACGGCAGCACAGGUAGCACUACUGGGUGGCGAGUGGCGCACGGGUGCGUAACACGUAUGCAACCUACCCUAUACAGGCGAAUAGCCUUUAGAAAUGAGGGCUAAUACGCCGUAGUAUUACAGAUGGGCAUCUAUUUGUAAUUAAAGAUUUAUCGGUAUAGGAUGGGCAUGCGUCCCAUUAGUUAGUUGGUAAGGUAACGGCUACCAAGACGAUGAUGGGUAGGGGAUCUGAGAGGACUUACCCCCACACUGGUACUGAGACACGGACCAGACUCCUACGGGAGGCAGCAGUAAGGAAUAUUGGGCAAUGGCCGCGAGGCUGACCCAGCCAUGCCGCGUGCAGGAAGACGGCCUUAUGGGUUGUAAACUGCUUUUAUACGGGAAUAAUAGAGUGUACGCGUACAUUUAUGCAAGUAGCGUAUGAAUAAGCAUCGGCUAACUCCGUG
rnacentral:rRNA from 1 species